AAACUAUCCUGGCAGAGGAGAUACCAUGAUCAUGAAGGUGGUUUUCCCAGGGCGAGGCUUAUCCAUUGCACUCCGGAUGUGCUGACCCCUGCGAUCCCCAAAUGUGGGGAACUCGACUGCAUAAUUAGUGGUAGUGGGGGACUGCAUUCGCACUCUCCCCUA
rnacentral:snRNA from 1 species